UCUAAUAUGGCAGAAUAGUGCGAUGGAUUUAAGAUCCAUGAAUAAAGGGCCCCUUUUUUUAGAA
rnacentral:tRNA from 1 species